GACGAACCGUGCGAACGUUGUUCGGAAUCACUGGGCUUAAAGGGCGCGUAGGCGGCCGGGUUGGUCGUGGGUGAAAUCCCCCAGCUUAACUGGGGAACUGCCUACGAUACUGCCUGGCUCGAGGGAGGAAGGGGCGGUCGGAACUGGUCGGUGGAGCGGUGAAAUGCGUUGAUAUCGACAGGAACGCCGGUGGCGAAAGCGG
rnacentral:rRNA from 1 species